rnacentral:rRNA from 1 species
CCUACGGGCGGCAGCAGUAAGGAAUAUUGGUCAAUGGACGAAAGUCUGAACCAGCCAUCCCGCGUGCAGGAUGAAAGCCCUAUGGGUUGUAAACUGCUUUUAGCAGAGAAGAAAAGCUUUCAUUAAUGAGAGUCUGACGGUAUCUGCAGAAUAAGCACCGGCUAACUCCGUGCCAGCAGCCGCGGUAAUACGGAGGGUGCGAGCGUUACUCGGUAUAACGGGGUCGAAGGGGUGGUAUGGCGGAGGUGGUGCAAUCUUGUCGCUUAACGAUUAAAUUGCCAAUGAUCCUGGUACUCUUGAAUUGGGUUGAGGUUAGCGGAAUGUGACAUGUAGCGGUGAAAUGCAUAGAUAUGUCAUGGAACACCAAUUGCGAAGGCAGCUAACUGGGCCUUGAUUGACGCUGAGGCACGAAAGCGUGGGUAGCGAACAGGAUUAGAUACCCCUGUAGUC